AUAUACUGUUCUCAGUUAGGUUUAAUUUCAUUUCCAAAAAAGUUAUGGUUUCCUUUUCCUCCAAAUGGCUGUAUUUCUGCCCAGCUUCUUAUACUUAUUUGUGAUGAGGUCAUUUGCCGGGAUUACUGUAGCUAAUAAAGGGAGCCACAAAUGACAUAGGACAGUCCGAUGUCUCAUUAGCUGGCUGCAGAUGGUGAAUGGCAGAGAAAAGGGACCCGGGACUUUGGGGAAGCGAUGGCUAUGAGUUGUCCUCAGAGGAGAAAGAAGACGGUCGUGACAGGGUGUCACAUGACACUUGACUUCAUCUGUCACCUCACAAAGCCUACCUGCUUGGCCCCUGCUGCUCUAAUAUCUGCAGGGGCAAGGAGAGCUUUGGUGCUGGGGUGACUGGGGACAGGAUGGACAGCCAGACAGCUGCUGGUAAGAAACAGCCUCCAGGAAGGUGGGUAAACAUGGUGACAUGUGAGCUGCCGUUGAGGAUUGUCCCCAUGCCACCCACUGCUUCCCUAUGCCAACAGCCCAACCAGUCAGGAUCCAGGGCCAGGAAUGGAAACCACUCCAGGUAUUUCAAUCAGGAAGGGAUUUGAUAUGGGAAUUAGGUGCUUAUAGCAUCACUGGUCUGGCGGAAGGCCAGAACAGAAGGCCCCCUUAGACUUUUUCAUGCAAGGACACACCACUGCAGGUAUCCUUGAUCCAAGUGUCGGGAUGCUGCCGGCGCUGCGGCCACAACAGCCUCUCCUGCCAACGCAGGGGGACAGAGGCCCCAGAACAACGAGUCUGGCCACUGCACCUGCCUCUAAAUACUCACAUCCCCUUGACCCUGUCCGCCAGCAGCACCAGCAGAAGGAAUCUGGUCCUCGCCUCAGCUUCCAACUCUCAAACAAAUGCACUGAGGAAACCGUCAUGCAUUUAGAAACCUCCCUGUGAGAAUGCCUGCAACGUGGACUUGCGUUGGUAUCUGUAAGUUGUUUUAUGGUAAGCCAGAAACAGCGGAGGGGACUGUCACAUUGUGAUUUAUGAGCAAGAUUUAGGUAUGUGUAUUAUGCUGUGAACUCCCAAAGGUUCUUUUCCAACAGAAUGGAGGUGAUUGGAAUUCUCAACCCCUUAGCAGCUAAGCACGACCUCCUCAAACGUGACCCCACCCAAGGCUCUCAAAAAAACUACCUGACAGCAAGCUCCGACAUCUUCUCAGUUGCCAACUUACCUUGCGAGGCACCCACACGUCAGCUACAAGUGUUUUCCCCCUGAAACUCGGUGUACAGGCAGAGGCAAAUACCUUUCAAAAUCUCACAUCCCCUAUCGUUUCAUACCCUGCAAAGUCACCUUACAGAUACUGAUGAAAUACUUGCAGGCAGGCCGAUCCUGCCUCUGGAAGACCUGAGCCCUCAAGCGGCCCUCGGAGAAUAGAAUCACGCGAAGCUUGGAGAAACAUUUCAAUGGAUAACCAAGACCAUUUGACUGAAGAAGCUGCCUUGGGACUUGCAACCUUACAAAAUAGAUUUUGCUGCACAAUUUUCAGGCUAAAGUGAUUUCAAUUCAAAUGAAGAACCACCUCUAACACAUGGUUAAAGUAGGUCCCAGCCCAGUUCACGAGAUCAUGUCAACAGGACACGUGCAACCAAGAAAGAGAAAUUCACUCAUGACACCCGGGGAAAUUGACAAAAUGCAGGCUGCAUUUGGCUUCCCUCCAGCUGCCACUUAGAGGCGCAGUUAGUCACAGAGAUAGUGUGGGCAGAUGACUGGGUCCAGGGAGCCUGUGGGGGCCUG